CUAAAAAGAGUAUAAAAUUUUGUAGUACUUUGGUAAAAACUAAGAGAGAGAAUGCAUGGACAAUACUCUUCAUAGAGACUGGCACAUACUGACAAAAUGUUAUUUUUAUGUUAUAAUAAAUAUAUCUAUUGCUAUUAUUCUAUUCUUGGGUUAUAGAAAUUCAGGUUGUUUGAAAUAUUUAAAAGAUCUUGACUAUAGAGGUAAUUCUAUAAACAUCCAGGUUUGUAAAUAGACAAUUACUUUUCCGUUAUUCACAUUGUUAAAAGAUGAUAAAGAUCAGCCAACUCCAAAGGCUUUUAUAUUUGUUUUUUAAUGCAUUGUGUGAUUUGAGCGGCAAUACAGUUGGUUUCUAGAUGGCCAUUGAAAACAGUUUCUAUAUUUUCAGCUUAGGUGAUCCGAGUGGUGAAAGAAGGUAUACAGGCAGGUGCAUAUUGUGCAUUGUGAGAGAGCUAAAUCAGAGUGGAAGAUACCCAUGGAGAAACAAGAGUUGUUCAUUUGGUGGUGUAUAUAUUGCCUAUUUAUAUGUUUUAUUCAACAUACUUUAUAUAUAAAGUUCUUCUAAGUUCUAGCCCACUGAUUCUUUUCUCUUUCCUUCUGUGAACACUGUUGUCUGGAAGGAAGCUGCUACUCAGCCAUGCACCUCUGCAAAUGUUGGAAAGAGUCAAGGAUUCCUGAGGCAAGGAAGUUGGAUAAUGAUGAGCACCAGGCAAGACACAGCUGGCCACUGGAGAGAGAGCCCAGUGUAGGCAGAAGGCCAGAAUGUGCCAACAGGUGGCUGUCAAUAGAUUGGCCCAAAAGGAAGAACAAAGAAAAGGGCACCAAAGAAGAUAAAUGAAAACACUAGGGUAUAAGCUGAACUGUGGACAUCCUGCCACUGGGAAUUAAGUUAAAGUAGAAAAAAGAAUGUAAUGGGGAGUCCCCUCACAAGAAGAAUUUGGAUCAAAGCAUGGCAGUGAGGGGAAGCAUUGAGCAGGAAACCAUGAGACCAAAAUUUAAAAGCCAGAGCUUCCUGACUCCAAAAUCCUCUUUCUUUCCUGUUAUCCUGCUGAAGUGCUGAUUUCAAAUGAAGACUGACUUGAUCCUGAACAUAACCUACAAGAAGAAA